rnacentral:misc_RNA from 1 species
GCCAAUUUUUGGAGUUUUGGGGUUGUGCUCCUUGUUUCUAUCUUAAUCAUAUGAGAUUGUAAAGCUUAUUGGUUUCUGUGGAGCUUUUUUUGUUGUGGUAUGUGCAUGAUCUUUCUAGUUCUAUUAUUAAAAUUGUUGUGUAAUGUCAAGAAUGAUGAAAAACAAGUGGUGAAUUCCUCUGUGAGCUCAACCAUCGAGGCUUAUUGAUAUUCUGACUUGCCUUAUGUAGUACUUUCUAUUUGUUUUAAGACAAAAUUUCAGCUUUUGAAACUUGUAGUCCUAAUUAUGUAUUUGUGUGUUUGAAUAAUUUGUCACAGUUGAAAAUGAAA